AACGAACGCUGGCGGCAGGCUUAACACAUGCAAGUCGAACGGGUGUAGCAAUACAUCAGUGGCAGACGGGUGAGUAACACGUGGGAACCUUCCUAGGGGUACGGAACAACUCAGGGAAACUUGAGCUAAUACCGUAUACGUCCGUAAGGAGAAAGAUUCAUCGCCCCUAGACGGGCCCGCGUCGGAUUAGGUAGUUGGUGGGGUAACGGCCUACCAAGCCUACGAUCCGUAGCUGAUCUGAGAGGANGAUCAGCCACACUGGGACUGAGACACGGCCCAGGCUCCUACGGGAGACAGCAGUGGGGAAUCUUGGACAAUGGGCGCAAGCCUGAUCCAGCCAUGCCGCGUGAGUGAAGAAGGCCUUAGGGUUGUAAAGCUCUUUUACCAGGGACGAUAAUGACGGUACCUGGAGAAUAAGCCCCGGCAAACUUCGUGCCAGCAGCCGCUGUAA
rnacentral:rRNA from 1 species